GAGGAUAUAAUGUGAUGGAGGAAAUUAUAAUCCGAGCAUAAAACAAUGUAUUUGUGAGUGAUAUUUUUUUGGACUGCCAAAUGGAUAUUUUGGUGGAUACAUUAUGAAAUAGUAUAAUUUCAUGAACAUUUCUGAACUUUGAGCUAGUUGCCACUGAUUUUCUGUUGUUUUAUGUUUAAAGAUUACUUUUGAUGCUGCUUCCUAAUGUGCCGGGUAGUUUCAACGAAAUUACCCGGUACUAUUGUGCGAUAGGCUGAACUUAUCGAUGUUGUCUUUUGAAAAUACCAAUCAAAAUUGUUUCCAAAUAAAUUCUUCCGCUAUAAAUAAAUUAAACAAUAUAAUUUCUCUCCAACAGAGUCUCCACCGGAUCUUAUCAAUUAUUCAUACCAUUCCGCAUCUAUCCCAUCUACCACCAAAUUGUUUGGUCUACAAGUAAGAUAUCUCAAUAUAUUGUAAAAUUUAACCAUAACAUAAACGUUUAAAUACAUUUGUAAAUAAUCGUUAUACAUUCGACUGACUUAGUCAUUUUCGAUUUGUCUUUAUUAUUGCAUUUUCUGACCGUGGCGUCCUUCCUCGGUGUUCAUGCCUACGUACUAAGAACCUGCGAUGAAGGUACAUUAGAGCGAUGUCCACGUUCAAAGAAAUCUUAAAGUUUCGUGCUCCAAUACUCGAGGCCGUACCAAAUGGAGAAGACGAUGUCCAGAGAUAUUCUUGUUCCACAGAGGGGCCAUCAGCAGUGUCAGAGGUCCAGGGCCAGGCCCAGCUCUACAAACCGCUAAAGAUCCUCCGGGGAUUAACGCCAGUCCUUUGAAUUUGGAUUACACAAUUUGUUUGUGUUUGAAUUACAAAUUACAUUAAACUUAUUUAAAGUAUAAUUAGGCAUCCCGAGGAGACGUGACCUUUCAGCAGACGAGGCGGUAGGAGAUAUAUCGACCAGCUGUCUCCGACGAACGGAUGAUCUUUACAACUUGACCACGCUUAAGACCGAAGUAGCGAGCCACUGGAUCGCCGGCCUGGAUGCGCAUCAACAUGUUCUCCUUAAGCUUGUAGCGACUGAGCAGCUCCUGCUUCUCCUCAACGGUCAUCACCACAUGCUCCGGCACCAGCUCGUGCUCG
rnacentral:lncRNA from 1 species